UGGCUCUCGCAUCGAUGAAGAACGCAGCGAAAUGCGAUAAGUAAUGUGAAUUGCAGAAUUCAGUGAAUCAUCGAAUCUUUGAACGCACCUUGCGCCCUUUGGUAUUCCAAUGGGCAUGCCUGUUUGAGUAUCAUGAACACCUCAACCCUCCUUGGUUUUUCCAUUGGGGGGCUUGGACUUUGGAGGCUUGCCGGUCUGCGAUCGGCUCCUCUCAAAUGCAUCAGCUCACCAGUAUUAGGUGAUGUCGCAGGUGUGAUAAUUAUCUACGCUUGUCUGUACAUCUACUUUUUAACCUCCACCAGUGGGGGUUUGCUGGGGCUUACAACCGUCUCCCUGUGGGGGACAACUUCAUGAACAUUUGAUCUCAAAUCAGGUAGGACUACCCGCUGA
rnacentral:misc_RNA from 1 species